UUGCACGCUGGCGGCAGGCCUAACACAUGCAAGUCGAACGGUAACAGGAAACAGCUUGCUGUUUCGCUGACGAGUGGCGGACGGGUGAGUAAUGUCUGGGAAACUGCCUGAUGGAGGGGGAUAACUACUGGAAACGGUAGCUAAUACCGCAUAACGUCGCAAGACCAAAGAGGGGGACCUUCGGGCCUCUUGCCAUCGGAUGUGCCCAGAUGGGAUUAGCUAGUAGGUGGGGUAACGGCUCACCUAGGCGACGAUCCCUAGCUGGUCUGAGAGGAUGACCAGCCACACUGGAACUGAGACACGGUCCAGACUCCUACGGGAGGCAGCAGUGGGGAAUAUUGCACAAUGGGCGCAAGCCUGAUGCAGCCAUGCCGCGUGUAUGAAGAAGGCCUUCGGGUUGUAAAGUACUUUCAGCGGGGAUGAAGGGAGUAAAGUUAAUACCUUUGCUCAUUGACGUUACCCGCAGAAGAAGCACCGGCUAACUCCGUG
rnacentral:rRNA from 1 species